UGUGGUUGUUGCUGGCCCUCUCGGGGGCAUGUGCACACCCACCAUCCUCAUCUCUCCACCUGUGCACCUCUUGUAGACCUGGAUUGACUUUCCGAGGCAACUCGGUCGGGAAGAUUGCUGCGCUCUGUGAGCCAGCUUUCUUUGCAUGUCCAGGCCUAUGUUUUUCAUAUACCCCUAUAGAAUGUAACAGAAUGUAUCAUUGGGCCUUGUGCCUAUAAACCUUAUACAACUUUCAGCAACGGAUCUCUUGGCUCUCGCAUCGAUGAAGAACGCAGCGAAAUGCGAUAAGUAAUGUGAAUUGCAGAAUUCAGUGAAUCAUCGAAUCUUUGAACGCACCUUGCGCUCCUUGGUAUUCCGAGGAGCAUGCCUGUUUGAGUGUCAUUAAAUUCUCAACCUUAUUAACUUUUGUUGAUAAUGGAUUGGAUUGUGGGGGUUUCUUUUGCUGGCUUCUUCACAGAGAUCAGCUCCCCUUAAAUGCAUUAGCUGGUGCCCCGCGUGGACCAUCUAUUGGUGUGAUAAUUAUCUACGCCGUGGAUGUCUGCAAUUAUAUGGGUUUCGCACUGCUUCUAACCGUCUGUUCAUUCRGACAAUACAUGACAAUUUGACCUCAAAUCAGGUARGACUACCCGCUGAACUUAAGCAUAUCAAUAAGCGGARGAAAAGAAACUAACAAGGAUUCCCCUAGUAACUGCGAGUGAAGCGGGAAAAGCUCAAAUUUAAAAUCUGGCGGUCUCCGGCCGUCCGAGUUGUAAUCUAGAGAAGUGUUAUCCGCGCUGGACCGUGUA
rnacentral:rRNA from 1 species